GAGCGGCGGACGGGUGAGUAAUGCUUGGGAAUAUGCCUUUUGGUGGGGGACAACAGUUGGAAACGACUGCUAAUACCGCAUAAUGUUUACGGACCAAAGCGGGGGAUUCUUCGGAACCUCGUGCCAAAAGAUUAGCCCAAGUGAGAUUAGCUAGUUGGUGGGGUAAUGGCCUACCAAGGCGACGAUCUCUAGCUGGUUUGAGAGGAUGAUCAGCCACACUGGGACUGAGACACGGCCCAGACUCCUACGGGAGGCAGCAGUGGGGAAUAUUGCACAAUGGGGGAAACCCUGAUGCAGCCAUGCCGCGUGUGUGAAGAAGGCCUUCGGGUUGUAAAGCACUUUCAGUCGUGAGGAAAGGGUGUAAGUUAAUACCUUGCAUCUGUGACGUUAGCGACAGAAGAAGCACCGGCUAACUCCGUGCCAGCAGCCGCGGUAAUACGGAGGGUGCGAGCGUUAAUCGGAAUUACUGGGCGUAAAGCGUGCGUAGGCGGUUUGAUAAGCCAGAUGUGAAAUCCCGGGGCUUAACCUCGGAACUGCAUUUGGAACUGUUUGACUAGAGUACUGUAGAGGGUGGUGGAAUUUCCAGUGUAGCGGUGAAAUGCGUAGAGAUUGGAAGGAACAUCAGUGGCGAAGGCGGCCACCUGGACAGAUACUGACGCUGAGGCACGAAAGCGUGGGGAGCGAACAGGAUUAGAUACCCUGGUAGUCCACGCCGUAAACGAUGUCAACUAGCUGUUUGUGUUCUUGAAACGUGAGUAGCGUAGC
rnacentral:rRNA from 1 species